AUGUGCUGCUUGCCCUUGCUGGGCAAUCCCACCAGGGAUGCCCAGAGGGUUCCCCAGCCCUGGCUCUGGCUUUGGGCACUCCCUGGCUGCUUUUCCUGCUGGAUUUUCAGGUGCAGGUGUGAGCUGGGAGCAGCAGGAGCUGGCCAGGCUGCCCAGGGCAGGAUCCCCACCCCGAGGGGGGUUCCCUGGCCCUUCCCACGCCGCCCUGGCCCUGAGCUGCGAGCAGAGAGCCCUGAAGGAGAAGCAGGAGCAGGAGCAGACCCCUGGCUGGGAUUUCGGGAGCAGCAGGAGCGAGCUGGCCAUCAGGAUAGGUAGAGCUGGGCUGCAGCCAGUUGUGGUUUGAAGCCUCACGGGUGCGACGGGAGCAGAUUGGUUUGAAGGAUUGGUUUUUCCUUUGGCAAGGAGCAGCUCUGCUCCCCUCUUAAAUCAGCCUCUUCUAUUUACCCACAGUGCUUAAUUGCACCUUCCUAAAACUCUGCAGCCCCCUGGCUUUUCCAGAGGGAUCAGGGCUGGGGCAGCAGCCUGGCUUUUCCAGAGGGAUGGGGGGAUUGGGGCAGCAGCCUGGCUUUUUCCAGAGGGAUGGGAGGAUUUUUCCUGCUCAGGGCAAUGAGCUUUGCAUCCUCCCAGCCCUCGGGAGGCAGCUGCAGGGGGGUUGAUGUUUUUGCCAGGUGGAAACUUCCCACCUCAGGCACGGUUUAAUUUUAUUCUUGGAGGGAGAGCAGAAGUGCUCAGCUCCCAGCGGCUCGAGCUGCCGAGGUUUUUAUGUUUUCAUCUCCUUUUAGCUGCAGACAAUAACGGUGCCGGUGGGUUUGGGAAUAGAAAAUUUCCAUUAGGCUUUGUUGUUUAUUUCCCCCUCUCUGGGGAAAUGGUGUUAAGGACAAUACAUUAAUUCUUUUAUUGUCUUUUCCUUUUUUCCCCCUUUCUUUCUGGCGAAAUACACGCGGUAUUUUCACAAGAUACUUCCAGGAAAGCUGCUUUCCCCAGGGCUGGGGAGUGCCUGCCUGGCCCUGGGGAGGCUCUGGGAACAUA
rnacentral:lncRNA from 1 species